rnacentral:rRNA from 1 species
UAGGGAAUAUUGGACAAUGGGGGGAACCCUGAUCCAGCCAUGCCGCGUGGAGGAAGACUGCCCUCUGGGUUGUAAACUCCUUUUAUAUGGGAAGAACCGUCCUCAUUGAUGAGUGACCUGACGGUACCAUAGGAAUAAGCACCGGCUAACUCCGUGCCAGCAGCCGCGGUAAUACGGAGGGUGCAAGCGUUAUCCGGAUUCACUGGGUUUAAAGGGUGCGUAGGCGGAUAUGUAAGUCAGUGGUGAAAUCAACGGGCUCAACCUGUUAACUGCCAUUGAUACUGUGUAUCUUGAAUAUGAGAGAGGUAGGCGGAAUGUUGCAUGUAGCGGUGAAAUGCUUAGAUAUGCUACGGAACACCGAUUGCGAAGGCAGCUUACUAUUUCGUAAUUGACGCUGAGGCACGAAGGCGUGGGUAGCGAACA